GUCCGGCUGGCUCAGUCGGUGGAGCAUGUGACUCUUGAUCUUGGGGUCGUGAGUUCAAGCCCCACAUUGGACG
rnacentral:tRNA from 1 species